UAUUAUUAUGAAUGGUUUGAUUAUUG
rnacentral:sRNA from 1 species